GACGAACGCUGGCAGCGUGCUUAACACAUGCAAGUCGAACGGAAAGGCCCUGCUUUUGUGGGGUGCUCGAGUGGCGAACGGGUGAGUAACACGUGAGUAACCUGCCCUUGACUUUGGGAUAACUUCAGGAAACUGGGGCUAAUACCGGAUAGGAGCUCCUGCUGCAUGGUGGGGGUUGGAAAGUUUCGGCGGUUGGGGAUGGACUCGCGGCUUAUCAGCUUGUUGGUGGGGUAGUGGCUUACCAAGGCUUUGACGGGUAGCCGGCCUGAGAGGGUGACCGGCCACAUUGGGACUGAGAUACGGCCCAGACUCCUACGGGAGGCAGCAGUGGGGAAUAUUGCACAAUGGGCGGAAGCCUGAUGCAGCAACGCCGCGUGCGGGAUGACGGCCUUCGGGUUGUAAACCGCUUUCGCCUGUGACGAAGCGUGAGUGACGGUAAUGGGUAAAGAAGCACCGGCUAACUACGUGCCAGCAGCCGCGGUGAUACGUAGGGUGCGAGCGUUGUCCGGAUUUAUUGGGCGUAAAGGGCUCGUAGGUGGUUGAUCGCGUCGGAAGUGUAAUCUUGGGGCUUAACCCUGAGCGUGCUUUCGAUACGGGUUGACUUGAGGAAGGUAGGGGAGAAUGGAAUUCCUGGUGGAGCGGUGGAAUGCGCAGAUAUCAGGAGGAACACCAGUGGCGAAGGCGGUUCUCUGGGCCUUUCCUGACGCUGAGGAGCGAAAGCGUGGGGAGCGAACAGGCUUAGAUACCCUGGUAGUCCACGCUGUAAACGGUGGGUACUAGGUGUGGGGUCCAUUCCACGGGUUCCGUGCCGUAGCUAACGCUUUAAGUACCCCGCCUGGGGAGUACGGCCGUAAGGCUAAAACUCAAAGGAAUUGACGGGGCCCCGCACAAGCGGCGGAGCAUGCGGAUUAAUUCGAUGCAACGCGUAGAACCUUACCUGGGUUUGACAUGGAUCGGGAGUGCUCAGAGAUGGGUGUGCCUCUUUUGGGGUCGGUUCACAGGUGGUGCAUGGCUGUCGUCAGCUCGUGUCGUGAGAUGUUGGGUUAAGUCCCGCAACGAGCGCAACCCUUGUUCACUGUUGCCAGCACGUUAUGGUGGGGACUCAGUGGAGACCGCCGGGGUCAACUCGGAGGAAGGUGGGGAUGACGUCAAGUCAUCAUGCCCCUUAUGUCCAGGGCUUCACGCAUGCUACAAUGGCUGGUACAGAGAGUGGCGAGCCUGUGAGGGUGAGCGAAUCUCGGAAAGCCGGUCUCAGUUCGGAUUGGGGUCUGCAACUCGACCUCAUGAAGUCGGAGUCGCUAGUAAUCGCAGAUCAGCAACGCUGCGGUGAAUACGUUCCCGGG
rnacentral:rRNA from 1 species